UACAACAUCCACUCCAUCAAACACAUUGCAGAUGAUGUUUUCAAUUUCAAGUGCUCCUUAAACGAGUUGUCCGCAUUUCCAUUUGAGAACCACCUGCAGUCCAUAAAAAAACUGGUCAGAAAUGGCAAAAAUCCAGUUGCUCAGGUAACUAAAAGAUUGGCAGAAAAGGCUAACUCACAUAAACACAUGAAGCAAUGGAGGGGCAAACCAUACUUCAUAUCGGCCAAGGCACCGAAUCACUGCUUCAUGUUGGAGACUGAGCAGGUUGUGUUUGUGAGGGAAAAACGGCAAGAUGGAUUGUUGGUUGUUGAUGUUAUCGACACACACGUCACGAGGCAGCUUUUUGAUCUGCCUUGCGAGUCCAAGCUAAUUAACAUUGUAUAUGUGGAGGACCGUGAUCUUAUCAGAGCGAAGAGGAGGCUUAUGGAGUCAAAGAAUAUGCAUAAGAAGGCUGUCUGUUUACCACAUGCACAGGGAUUUGCCAUAUUCCCCCUACUCCAUUCCUGUAAGGUUUAACUGAAGCUUGGUCCUGUCUUGUCAGUUUACCUUUCUGAGCCAUUAUGUCUCAAGGACUGAGGCGUGCCCCCCCCCCCCAAAAAACGCUAUGAAGACUUUGUCCAAUGUAAGUACUAUUUUACGUAGUUGCCACUAGAACUUGGUUGAUGCUCGAAGAAAACUUUUUUAUAAUAUUUAUUGUAUUUUUUAUAAUACCUUGGUCUUGUGGCAAUUUAUUUUAGACAUGAGCUCAUCAGAGUCCUUACUAUCUUCUCCAACACCACAAAAGAAGAGCAAGGGUAUUUAUGCUGUUUAUUAUUUGUUAAACCAUUUAAAAAAAGAUUGAAAAUGUGGCAAUUUAAUUGCUUUUCUAAUUAAUCUAUGUAAAUAAACUAUUUUGUUAUAUUUAACAUAGGCUAUUUCACAGACCAGUAAUAGUCCAGUUUCUGUGCAUUUUUUCAAUGAGACUGCUGUGGCUCUUUCAUUGCAUAGGAUAGGAAAGGAUUGCUUUAAGAAAUAUUACAUUUUGGAUAAAACUCUCAGUGUUUACAUUACAUUUAAGUGAUUUUGAGCUUUUCAUAUAUUCCUUUUAUGUUAUAAUUUGCACUUUCCCCGCACCACCCAAUAAAUAUGGCGUGGCCUCCACAUCAAAAACAGCCUCAGAAACAAACACGCAUAAAAUAAGCAAAAAUAAGCAGAUGAAGACAGUACAUUUAGAAAUGGCAGAAAAGUUUUCGGAGGACCUUUUUUCGACACCACCCACCACUAAAUCUUGUACUCGGAUGAGUCAAUGGGAGGACCCUGAAGUGUCUGUACCAGCAAGUAUGACGUAGAAUGUUGACUUUGAAUGUUUACUAACUG